GAAGGCUUACUUUCUUUAGUAAAAAUAAGCUUACAAUAAACUCAACAUGUUAAAGAAAUUUUUCAUCGGUCUCGUCAUCACAACGCUGAUCCUCGGCAACAUUGCAAAUGUUAAAGCUGAUGAUCCUCAAGCGAAACCUGCACAACCUAACACCCCAAAUAAUAAUGGUAACGAAGGACCGCUAAUGGAUUUAUUCAGUCUUCCAAAGAAUUUCCUUAAAUCUGUAAUGAGACCUGUGUUUUAAACAAUGCAGUUCAUGGGUAUGGGAACACAUAAAUUCUGGAUUAGCUAUUUCUAUCAAUAUCAUACUAAUAAAAUAACAUAUCUUCAUACCUAUUAUUAUUUGAAAUAAAGA